rnacentral:rRNA from 1 species
CCUACGGGUGGCAGCAGUGGGGAAUAUUGGACAAUGGGCGAAAGCCUGAUCCAGCCAUGCCGCGUGUGUGAAGAAGGCCUUCGGGUUGUAAAGCACUUUCAGUGGGGAAGAAAGCCUUGGGGCUAAUACCCUCGAGGAAGGACAUCACCCACAGAAGAAGCACCGGCUAACUCCGUGCCAGCAGCCGCGGUAAUACGGAGGGUGCGAGCGUUAAUCGGAAUUACUGGGCGUAAAGCGCGCGUAGGCGGUCUGAUAAGCCGGUUGUGAAAGCCCCGGGCUGAACCUGGGAACGGCAUCCGGAACUGUCAGGCUAGAGUGCAGGAGAGGAAGGUAGAAUUCCCGGUGUAGCGGUGAAAUGCGUAGAGAUCGGGAGGAAUACCAGUGGCGAAGGCGGCCUUCUGGACUGACACUGACGCUGAGGUGCGAAAGCGUGGGUAGCAAACAGGAUUAGAUACCCGAGUAGUC